rnacentral:rRNA from 1 species
UACGGAGGGGCUAGCGUUGUUCGGAAUUACUGGGCGUAAAGCGUGCGCAGGCGGCGCGUUAAGACAGGUGUGAAAGCCCCGAGCUUAACUUGGGAAUUGCGCUUGUGACUGGCGUGCUGGAGUGUGGCAGAGGGAGGUGGAAUUCCACGUGUAGCAGUGAAAUGCGUAGAGAUGUGGAGGAACACCGAUGGCGAAGGCAGCCUCCGUGGGCCAGCACUGACGCUCAUGCACGAAAGCGUGGGGAGCAACAGG